rnacentral:rRNA from 1 species
GGGCCCGCACAAGCGGAGGAACAUGUGGUUUAAUUCGAUGAUACGCGAGGAACCUUACCCGGGCUCGAACGGCUUUUGAAUUUUGGUGAAAGCCAAAAGUUCGCAAGAACAGAAGUCGAGGUGCUGCAUGGUUGUCGUCAGCUCGUGCCGUGAGGUGUCGGCUUAAGUGCCAUAACGAGCGCAACCCUUAUCGUUAGUUACCAUCAGGUCAUGCUGGGGACUCUAGCGAGACUGCCACCGUAAGGUGUGAGGGGAAGGUGGGGAUGACGUCAAAUCAGCACGGCCCUUACGUCCGGGGCUACACACGUGUUACAAUGGGUGGGACAGAAGGCCGCUACCUGGCAACAGGAUGCAAAUCCCCAAACCCACUCCCAGUUCGGAUCGAAGUCUGCAACCCGACUUCGUGAAGCUGGAUUCGCUAGUAAUCGCGCAUCAGCCAUGGCG